rnacentral:rRNA from 1 species
GUGCCAGCCGCCGCGGUAAUACGUAGGGGGCGAGCGUUGUCCGGAAUUCCUGGGCGUAAAGGGUGCGUAGGCGGCCCUUUAAGUCGGAUGUGAAAGCCCGCGGCUUAACCGCGGAAUGGCAUUCGAAACUGGAGGGCUUGAGUGUCGGAGAGGGUAGUGGAAUUCCCAGUGUAGCGGUGAAAUGCGUAGAUAUUGGGAGGAACACCAGUGGCGAAGGCGACUACCUGGACGAUAACCGACGCUGAGGCACGAAAGCUAGGGGAGCAAACAGGAUUAGAUGCCCUGGUAGUCCUAGCCGUAAACGAUGGGUACUAGGUGUAGGAGGUUUCGAUACCUUCUGUGCCGCAGCAAACGCAUUAAGUACCCCGCCUGGGGAGUACGGCCGCAAGGUUGAAACUCAAAGAAAUUGACGG